UAAAAUCGCAGCUAGAGAUAGACUGUAUACGCUUGGUAGCUGAUACUAUGUAUUAAGCGUAUUUAUAAGUACGCCAGUCAAGUGGGGAGAGCAAUCAUUAAUUUGGUUGCUCUUUUUUUGAUU
rnacentral:sRNA from 12 species